UGCCAGCCGCCGCGGUAACACGGGGGGCGCUAGCGUUAUUCGGAAUUAUUGGGCGUAAAGAGCUCGUAGGCUGUUCGGUAAGUCGGGUGUGAAAACUCUGGGCUCAACCCAGAGAGGCCACUCGAUACUGCUGUGACUAGAGUGCGGUAGGGGAGCGGGGAAUUUCUGGUGUAGCGGUGAAAUGCGCAGAUAUCAGAAGGAACACCAGUGGCGAAGGCGCCGCUCUGGGCCGUAACUGACGCUGAGGAGCGAAAGCAUGGGUAGCAAACAGGAUUAGAUA
rnacentral:rRNA from 1 species